rnacentral:snRNA from 1 species
GAAUCAUCUGGCUAUGAGAUCUGACACCCAUCUAUCACUGGAUAGUUGGAAAUCUCUCACGAUUUCAGAUGCAUUCCUGAUAAAGCUGUGUAUUUGGCAAGAAGUAGACCUUCUCCUGUAGAGGAGGAAUGGUCUUAGGUCAAGGGUAUCUGAGUAGCAGUGUUUCCCUGAUAGAAUCUACAAACAAUGUCUCAGAAUACAUUGUAAAUGUCAGAUAGCCAUGGCAG